rnacentral:rRNA from 1 species
AUGGAGGUCAUGACGCGUCCCGCCUCGCCGGCGCCGCACCGGGACCUCCGGCUCGACAGCGCGGCCGCGAGCCCGUACGCCACGGCGCCGUCCAGCCCGCGCGGCCGCCCGUUCGGCUCCGUCGAGGGAGCGGCCGCGGUGGCGAAGGGCAGCCCGUUCCUGACGGCGCCGUCGUCGCCGAACCCGUUCGACCUCCUGCCGCCGGUCACCCCGCGCCUCGCCGGCGCCAACCCCUUCGACCUCUUCCAGCACUUCACCAGCGCGCCCGCCAGCCCCCGGCGCGCCGCGGCCAUCUACGCGCACUUCGCCGAGGGGGACCGCGACGGCGGUGAGGAGGAGGAGGAGGACGACGGCGACGAGGGAUUUCAUCCGCGGUCGUCGUACUCCACCACCGCGUCGGCCGUGCCGUUCGACUGGGAGGAGAGGCCCGGGACGCCCAAGGCCGGGAUGGGCGGCGAGGCGGCGGCGUGGGACACGGACUUCGAGUUCGGCACCGUCGUCGACAAGACCGCGCCGGCGGAGAGCCUGACGACCGCCGACGAGCUCUUCGAGAAGGGGAGAAUCCGGCCGCUGAAGCCUCUGCUGAAGACCGCCGACGAGGGAAAGAUCAGGCCGCUGAAGCCGCCGCCCGGCCUGCUCGACGGCGGGAGCGUCGGGUCAUCGCCGCGGUCGCCGAUCGCGAAAGGCGCCCUGAGGUCGCCCCGGCGGCGGAGCAGGGUCGGCUCCGGCACGGACUUCGACCCGUUCGCAGCGGCACUCCUGGAGGCGACCAAGGCGCCCUCGCCCUCCCCGCUCGGCGGCAAAAACACCACCGCCGUCGCGUCAGGCUCGCCGCCCAAGAAAGCCGACCCGUUCGCCGCGCGUCCAACCUCCAGGAGCGCCGGGUGGAGGAGGUGGAGACUCAGCGACCUCCUCCUGUUCCGGAGCUCGUCGGAAGGCGGCCGGAUCAGCAAGGACCCGCUCCCCAAGUGCCCGCCGGCGCAGCAGCCCGACGCGCCCCUCAAGAAGGCAAACGCACCACCGCCGACGGCGGCGGCCAAGUUCAACGCCAGAGCCGUCAGCAUGGACAAGCUCAAGAAGCAGGGCGGCGACAAGAGCGGCGCGGCGGCCGCGGCGGAGGGCAUCGUCGGGUGCGCGCGGCUGAGCCCGCUGCAGCGGUUCGCCAGGGGGCUCGGCGGGCACUCGUGGCACCACGGCCGCGGCAUGGCGGCGCAGGGGACCAAAGGGUAG